rnacentral:rRNA from 1 species
UACGGAGGGGGCUAGCGUUGUUCGGAAUUACUGGGCGUAAAGCGCACGUAGGCGGCUUUGUGAGUUAGCGGUGAAAGCCUGGAGCUCAACUCCAGAAUUGCCUUUAAGACUGCAUCGCUUGAAUCCAGGAGGGGUGAGUGGAAUUCCGAGUGUAGAGGUGAAAUGCGUAGAUAUUCGGAAGAACACCAGUGGCGAAGGCGGAUCACUGGGCUGGUAUUGACGCUGAGGUGCGAAAGCGUGGGGAGCAAACAGG